rnacentral:rRNA from 1 species
CGCGUAGGUGGUUUGUUAAGUUGGAUGUGAAAGCCCCGGGCUCAACCUGGGAACUGCAUCCGAAACUGGCAGGCUAGAGUCUUGUAGAGGGGGGUAGAAUUCCAGGUGUAGCGGUGAAAUGCGUAGAGAUCUGGAGGAAUACCGGUGGCGAAGGCGGCCCCCUGGACAAAGACUGACGCUCAGGUGCGAAAGCGUGGGGAGCAAACA